GACCUGAUGCCUUCAUUUAUCCGCCAUGGUCCGACCAUUCCAAGACGAACCGACCUCUGCCUCCCAGAUUCUGGUCCUUCUGCUUACCCAGUGGGUGGAGAUGGAGCCGUUUCCAGAAACCAGAGCUUCCUCCGGACUCCUGUGCAGAGGCCUCCCCAUGAGAUUGUGAGGCGGGAGAGCAACAGGCUCUCUGCUCCAUCCUAUCUUGCCAGGAGUUUGGCUGACGUCCCCCAAGAAUACGGUUUAUCAUCGCAGUCCUUUUUAACAGAGGCCAACUCGGGCACUGAGAAUGGAGAUGCUGGACCUCGUUACUAUUAUGACCACUUCUACAAUGGCCAAAGGAGACACCAGUUGGGGGAUCACGCGCAAGAGGAAUAUAGAUACUAUGAACAUAACAGUGACCUCAUCCAUAGGAUGUCUCAGAAUCAGGGAAGACACGGUUCAGGCAUUGGAAGGAUAGCUGCUACGUCGUUAGGAAACUUAACAAACCACAGUUCAGAAGACUUACCACUGCCUCCCGGCUGGUCCGUAGACUGGACCCUGAGAGGAAGAAAGUACUACAUAGACCAUAACACGAACACAACGCACUGGAGCCAUCCGCUCGAGCGAGAGGGUCUACCCCCAGGAUGGGAACGCGUGGAGUCAGCCGAGUUUGGAGUGUACUACGUCGACCACAUCAAUAAAAGAGCGCAGUACAAGCACCCUUGUGCUCCCAGUGUUCCUCGUUACGACCAGCCGCCUCCUGUGACGUAUCAGCCGCGACAAGUUGAGAGAAGUCAGACGAUUCUGGUUCCUGCAAAUCCAUACCACACCGCAGAGAUCCCUGACUGGCUGCAGGUUUAUGCCCGGGCGCCUGUGAAGUAUGACCACAUCUUAAAGUGGGAGCUCUUCCAGUUGGCGGACCUGGAUACCUACCAAGGGAUGCUCAAGCUGCUUUUCAUGAAGGAACUGGAGCGGAUCGUGAAGACCUACGAAGCGUAUAGGCAAGCCCUCCUCACAGAGCUGGAAAAUCGAAAGCAGAGGAAACAGUGGUAUGCCCAGCAGCACGGGAAGAAUUUCUGAGUUGGUGGUCUUCCGCUGGGGACUUUUCAAGGAACUUCACACUUUUUUCUUCUUUUUUUAAAGAAAAACAUGCUUUGGUUUAAAAGGCAGCUUCUUUUUUCAAUGGAUCUUGGCACCUUUUGUAAUUCCCACUUUUGUGUAUCAUGUUUAUUGAAUACAAAAACAUGUUUGUUAUAUUGUAUAAAAGUUAGUUUCUAAUUUGGAGAGCCCGUGUGGACGUGGAAGAGAAGAAAAAUUAUUUGGGCUGGGGAGUGUUUUUCUUUUCUACCAACCCACUGUGCUGGGGAGAAGCAGCGUUUUGUUUUCCAGAUGACAAAAAUGGUCCUUGUGAGCAUGGCCCUGGCCGCACAGCAGCAUCCUUUAAGAAGCCCUCAUGCCCCUAAUGUAGGGUCCUGCAGAUCUUUUUCAGAAUGAAGGACUAUUGAUACCUCUUUGUCCAAGGAGAACUAAGACUAAGAGUGUACUACGUGUAUGCUUUUCUCAAAGCUAGAUGUAAAUACUUCCUGGAGAAGCAGCUGUGCUCCUGGAAGCAGCUGGAUGGGGUGGAAUUUCCAAAACAAAGUGUUGUAAUCAAGGCAUGAGCUGAGAAGGAACUAGUUUGGUCAACCCAAGGAUUGUGAGCCUUUUCUCGAACCUCAGCCCGCCCUCUGCCACAUAUGCUCAGCUCUUCACAAAAUCGAGAAGAUUCAAUAGCAGCUUGUAACAGCCCUGAAAACAACAGACCCUUAUCGCCACUUCCCCGUGCCUUUUGAACAGCCUCAGUGCCGUUUGUGGGGCUAUCGUGGCAGCUGUUGAGCGGAGGAGCGCAACCGGAGAGCUGCCAGCAGCAAAGGACGGCUGGAUCCUGCCCAUAGUAUAGAGGUGGGCAGGAAUUUUUUAUGGGCGCAACUGGAAAGGAAUAAAAGAGAGAAGAGCUAAUUGUCUUAGGAACCAAACUUUUAAUUGACAAUAAAAUAAUAAAAACUA